rnacentral:ribozyme from 1 species
ACCCAACCGGACCACCAUGGUUGGGUCAGACGUAGCUAUCGCGUACGCAUUCCCCAACGGGAGCUUCUCAGUGGAAGAUUUCUACAUGAGCUCCAGAGAGC